GGAGUUUUCAUGGGGGUUUAAGGGCCACGAUAAUGACUUUGGUCUGUUAAAUAUGGAAUUAUACACUGAUAUGGUCAGUAAAACCUGAGCUGCUGCUUUUUGUAGGAAAGGUCGUGCCAGCUGCUGCUUUUCCAGUGGCUUUAAAGAAGCCACAUGCCCACAACCAGGACGCAGAGUCAGUGCAUACUUCAGCUAAUUCAAAAGGGAACUAGAUGUGUUUCUCAAGGUCCUCAGCAGUGUUCUUUAGGAUUUAGGAAACAUACUGGACUUAAUUAAGCUUACUGACACCGGAGCUGUGGUUAAGUCACUGCAUCUGAACAAAGAACCUGAGGUACAUUCCUGGAGUCAGUUCCUCAUCUGACACAUAACAGGCUCUCCAGCUGAGAAGAAAGGUAGGCGCUGACUUGUCUUUCCUAGGCUUUUGUGAUGAUGUUUUUUCAUCUCUUGUUCUAGGACACCUGGGGGUAGAAUAAGGGGGAAGAAAAGAGACCAUGUCCCAUGGUAUAAGUCACCAGUCUAGAUGAAGGGUGGGAAGAACUCAUAUGUACUUUGGGGCCUUUGGGGGAGCAGUCUCUGCUGCAAUCCUGGGAGGCAAGAAAAAAAUAAUAAAGGCCUAGGAAGAACCAAAA
rnacentral:lncRNA from 1 species